GAGUUUGAUCCUGGCUCAGAACGAACGCUGGCGGCAGGCCUAACACGAUGCAAGUCGAACGAAGUCUUCGGACUUAGUGGCAGGCGGGUGAGUAACGCGUGGGAACCUACCUGGAGGUUCGGAAUAACUCGGGGAAACUCGGGCUAAUACCGGAUACGCCCUUACGGGGAAAGAUUUAUCGCCUUUAGAUGGGCCCGCGUUGGAUUAGCUUGUUGGUGAGGUAAAAGCUCACCAAGGCGACGAUCCAUAGCUGGUCUGAGAGGAUGAUCAGCCACACUGGGACUGAGACACGGCCCAGACUCCUACGGGAGGCAGCAGUGAGGAAUAUUCGGCAAUGGGCGCAAGCCUGACCGAGCCAUGCCGCGUGAGUGAAAGAAGGCCCUAGGGUUGUAAAGCUCUUUCACCGAUGAAGAUAAUGACGGUAGUCGGAGAAGAAGCCCCGGCUAACUUCGUGCCAGCAGCCGCGGUAAAUACGAAGGGGGCUAGCGUUGUUCGGAAUUACUGGGCGUAAGCGGCAGUAGGGCGGGAUUGGUUAGUCAGGGGUUGGAAACUCCCCGGGGCUCAACCCCGGGAAACUGCCUCUGAUACUGGGCAAUCUCGAGUUCGAGAGAGGUGAGUG
rnacentral:rRNA from 1 species